rnacentral:rRNA from 1 species
GGAGUUUGGGCCGUGUCUCAGUCCCAAUGUGGCCGUACACCCUCUCAGGCCGGCUACUGAUCGUCGCCUUGGUGGGCCGUUACCUCACCAACUAGCUAAUCAGACGCGGGUCCAUCCUAUACCACCGGAGUUUUUCACACUGUACCAUGCGAUACUGUGCGCUUAUGCGGUAUUAUCAGUCGUUUCCAACUGCUAUCCCCCAGUAUAGGGCAGGUUACCCACGCGUUACUCACCCGUCCGCCACUAAGUAGCUCAUAGAGUCUUCGGAAGCAAGCUUCCUUGUACUCAGAAGAACUACCCCGUUCGACUUGCAUGUGUUAAGCACGCCGCCAGCGUUUAUC